rnacentral:rRNA from 1 species
AUGGACUUGCCAAUUGGCACUGUGUGGUUGGUCCUAGCCAUUAUUCUGAUAACUGCAAUAGUCACCAAGAUUGCAAAUGCAAGAGUUACAUUUGAUCCAGUUUGUACACGACCACCUCCACCCGUGGUGAAUAACAUUGCUCUUAUAAAACUCUUACCUACCCUGUGUACAAAGGGCCCUGAAGUUACAAUGACCUAUCUGUAUAACAAGUUUGGCAGUGUGUUCACAGUUAGCAUUCUUUGGAAAAGGAUAACCUUCUUGGUUGGGCCAGAGGUCUCUGGUCCUUUCUUUCAAGGUUCUGAGUCAGAGGUUUCCCAAGGUAAUUUCAACGAGUUCACUGUGCCCAUGUUUGGCCAAGAGAAUGGAUUUGCCGUAGAUUCCUCCACUCGAAUGGAUGAGAUUCGCUUCUACAUUGAUGCUCUAAAGCCAUCACAGCUCAGGAGCCAUGUUGACCCCAUGCUUCGUGAAGUGGAGGACUACUUUGGAAAAUGGGGAGAAGUCGGGGUAGUCGAUCUAAAAGAUGAGUUCAACCAUAUACUCAUGUUAAUCGCAAGCCGAUGCUUACUCGGAAAAGAGGUUCGAGAGAAGAUAUUUGGCGAGUUUUACACAUUGUUUACUGAAAUUGAAGCAGGAAUGAACUUCGUCAGUUUCGUGCUCCCAUAUAUCCCUAUUCCAGUAAAUAGGCGACGUGAUAGAGCUCGCGUCAAGCUUACAGAGAUUGUUUCAGAGAUUCUGAGGUCACGAAAGAUAUGCAACCGCGUCGAGGAGGAUGUGCUCCAGAAGUUGAUGGAUUCCAGGUAUAAAGAUGGUCGCCGUACAACAGAAGCAGCUGUCGCAGGAAUGAUCAUCGCAUUGAUAUUUGCUGGAAAACAUACAAGCGCUGUGAUAUCCACCUGGACUGGAGCUUGCCUAUUGACCCAUGAAAAGUUCUUAGAUGCUGUUGUCAAUGAGCAAAAAGAAAUAAUGAGGACAUAUGAGGACAUGAUAGACUAUAAUGUCUUAUUAGAGAUGGAGACACUGCAUAGUUGCAUCAAAGAGGCUGGACGUGUGAAUCCAAUAUCGAUUGGGUUGGUACGCCAAGCACAAAAGAACAUCAUAGUGAGGACAAAAGAGGGAGUUGAAUACGACAUCCCAAAACACUAG